rnacentral:rRNA from 1 species
UCAUGGUUUAACUAGUUAUUCAAGCAAAAAGCACUAAAGUUUGCCACCCCGAAACUAAGCGAGCUACUUCAAGGCAGUUUCAAGAACUAACCCGUCUCUGUUGCAAAAGAGUGGGAAGACCUUCAAGUAGAGGUGACAGACCUAACGAGCUUAGUGAUAGCUGGUUACUUAAGAAAAGGAUCUUAGUCCCCCCUAAAUUUUUUAUAAUAUUUACAAAUAGAAACUAAAAUUUAGAGUAAUUCAAAUAAGGUACAGCCUAUUUGAAUCAGGAUACAACCUUCACAAACGGGUAACUAAACUUUUAUGUAGCUAAGUAGGCCUAAAAGCAGCCACCUUCAAAAAGCGUCAAAGCUUAUCUACAAAUUUUCUUAAUCCCCCUAAUCUUUAAAAACCCUUAAUCUUUAUUAAGUAACUCUAUAAAAUUAUAGAACCUAUUAUGUUAAAACUAGUAACAAGAACUAGAACUUCUCUUUAAUGUAAGUGUAAAUCAGAUUGGACAAACCACUGAUUUUUAACAUUUGGAACCAAAGUAACAACUUAUCAAGAAAACCUUACCUCACACAAUGUUAACCUGACACAAGAACAUUUUAAGACAGAUUUAAAGGAAAAGAAGGAACUCGGCAAACAUUAACCUCGCCUGUUUACCAAAAACAUCGCCUCUUGAAAACCAUAUAAGAGGCCCAGCCUGCCCAGUGACUCUGUUCAACGGCCGCGGUAUCCUAACCGUGCGAAGGUAGCGUAAUCACUUGUUCUUUAAAUGAGGACUAGUAUGAAUGGCAUUACGAGGGUUAUACUGUCUCCUCUCCCUAAUCAGUGAAACUAAUCUCCUCGUGAAGAAGCGAGGAUAAACCUAUAAGACGAGAAGACCCUAUGGAGCUUUAAACUCUCAGCAAUUAUUUUUUCUACACCAACCUUAAGGUUAUUACACUAACUUUAAUAAUAUGCCUGUCAGUUUUCGGUUGGGGUGACCGCGGAGUAAAACCCACCCUCCGCAAUGAAUAUUAACAAGCAAAAAACUACAAUUUUAUGCAUCAAAAAAUUGACAGUAUUGACCCAACACUUUGAUCAACGAACCAAGUUACCCUAGGGAUAACAGCGCAAUCCAUCUCAAGAGCUCAUAUCGACAGAUGGGUUUACGACCUCGAUGUUGGAUCAGGGUAUCCCAGUGGUGCAGCCGCUACUAAAGGUUCGUUUGUUCAACGAUUAAAACCCU